rnacentral:rRNA from 1 species
UACGUAGGGGGCUAGCGUUGUCCGGAAUCAUCGGGCGUAAAGCGCGUGUAGGCGGUCCGGUAAGUCCGCUGUGAAAGUCGGGGGCUCAACCCUCGAAUGCCGGUGGAUACUGUCGGGCUAGAGUGCGGAAGAGGCGAGUGGAAUUCCUGGUGUAGCGGUGAAAUGCGCAGAUAUCAGGAGGAACACCAAUUGCGAAGGCAGCUCGCUGGGACGUUACUGACGCUGAGACGCGAAAGCGUGGGGAGCAAACAGG